AAUAUACAUAAAUUAAGCUGCUAACUUAAUUAAUAGUGAAUAAUAUCAUUAAUAUUUC
rnacentral:tRNA from 1 species